CCCUUAGAUGUUCUGGGCCGCACGCGCGCUACACUGAUGCAUGCAACGAGUUCUAUCCUUGGCCGGAAGGCCUGGGUAAUCUGUGAACGUGCAUCGUGAUAGGGAUAGAUUAUUGCAAUUAUUAAUCUUGAACGAGGAAUUCCUAGUAAACGCAAGUCAUCAGCUUGCAUUGAUUACGUCCCUGCCCUUUGUACACACCGCCCGUCGCACCUACCGAUCGAAGGUAAUGAUGAGCCCUCAGGAUUGUGGCCUCGUCGCGCCAGCGUCUUGGCUGCGAGAAUCUGUGCAAAUCCCUACCUUUAGAGGAAGGUGAAGUCGUANCA
rnacentral:rRNA from 1 species